UUGUGAUCCACCCACCUCAGCCUCCCAAAGAGUGCUGGGAUUACAGGCGCGAGCCAUUCCACCCAGUGAAAGCUCCAACCUGAAAACAACCCAAAUGUCCCCAAGAGAAUGGACACUGGAGGUGGGUAUGUUCAACAGUGGCACACUUGUGAGAUGAGACGAGCAAACAUUGCUGCACACAAACAAAUGGAUGGGUCCCACAAGCAUAACGUUUCGGGAGAGAAGCCAAACUCAGGAGUAAUGGCUGCUUCCACAGAUGGAAAGCUCAGAUGAGGCAGAGGGCACCGUGCCAGAGAAUGGCCCUCAGGCAGCACGGCAGUCUCCCAGGACCUGGAGACCAUCACUGUCUUGAUCUGAAUGGUGGUGUUGAAUCUGUUUUGUGUGCUCCCUUUCAGGGCAUUCUGUGUUUUGACUUCAAUAAAUAAGUACAUUAAGCCAGGCGGGGUGGCUCACACCUGUAAUCCCAGCACUUCAGGAGGUCGAGGUUUGUGGAUCACGAGGUCAAGAGAUCGAGACCAUCCUGGCCAACAUGGUAAAACCCUGUUUGUACCAAAAAUACAAAAAUUACCCGGGCAUGGUGGCACAUGUCUGUAAUCCCAGCUACUUGGGAGGCUGAGGCAGGAGAAUCGCUUGAACCUGGGAGGUGGAGGUUGCAGUAAGCUGAGAUAGGGCCAGUGCAAUCCAGCCUGGCGACAGACAGACACUCCAUCUCAAAAAAAAAAAAAAAAAAAAAAAGUACAUUAAGUACUAUGUAUCGUACAAUGUAUCUAUGGCUGGAUCCCCAGGGGCUAUCUCUGGGUGGUGCCCUGGUGGCUGGGGCUCAGGCCAGGCUAGAAGGUUCCAUGUCCGUCUUUUUGUUCCUUUGGAAUUACCUCCCAUGCAUAUGUAUUACCUAGUCAAGGAAAAAAGGCUUCUGUUUAAUUAAAAAAAAAUGCAUUCAGCUUUUCAGCCUCGCAGCUGAGCCCCUUCACUUGGGAGCAGCCUGGGUGCAUUUGUGCACAGUUCAGAUUCCAGGCAGGACGCUGCUAUGGCCCUACCCACCCCCUCAUCACUCAUCCUGACUCCUGGGGCCAACCCUGGGGCUGUGGGCUGUUGGGUCUGUGGUAGGGUGGAGACCUUAGGCCCAUAUGUACCAGGAAGUCCCCAGAGAGCCAGUGAGGAGAUGCUCAGGACACUCCUGUCAAGGCAGGCCCUCAGCCUGUGACUAAGCCUCCCAGCCAUCUUUUUCUUUUCCUUUAUGUUGUUUAAUAUUUUUGUCACAAAGAGCCAUGGUCACUGGCAGAGCUGUCACUAUUUAAAUGGUAGAAAAUGCCCCUUUUGGGGCUGGGCAUGGUGGCUCAUGCCUGUAAUCCUGACAUUUUGGGAGGCCAAGGUGGGAGGAUCACUUGAGUUCAGGAGUUUGAGACCAGCCUGGGUAACAUAGCGAGACCCCGUCUACAAAAAAUCAAGAAAUUAGCCGGGCGUGGUGUAUUGGUUUGCUUUCACACUGCUAUAAAGUACUGCCCGAGACUGGGUCAUUUAUAAAGGAAAGAGAUUUAAUUGGCUCACAGUUCAACAUGGCUGGGGAGGCCUCAGGAAACUUAUAAUCAUGGAGGCCAUCAAAGGGGAAGCAAGACACCUUCAUAAGGUGGCAGAAAGAAGUGCCGAGCAAAGGGGGAAGAGCCCUUUGCAAACCAUCAGAUCUCUUGAGAACAAAUGCACUACGUGAGAGCAGCAUGGGGGCACCGCCACCCCCAUGACUCAGUUACCUCCACUUGGUCUCUCCCUUGACACGUGGGGAUUAUGGGGAGUACAAUUCAAGAUGAGAUUUCGUUGUGGACACAAAGCCUAACUAUAUCACAUGGUGUCGCCUGCCUGUGGUUCCAGCUACUCAAGCUGAAGUGGGAGGAUCGCUGGAGCCCAGAAGGUCGAGGCUGCAGUUAAGCUGAGAUAGUGCCACUGCACUCCAGUCUGGGUAACAGAGCCAACAGAUUGGCUGCAAUAACAGAAACUGAAAGGAAAAUAAAUCUCAGGACCCCAAAAUCACUAAGCCAACGGGAAAAGUCAAGCUGGGAACUCCAUCAGCAAACCUGCCUCCCAUCCUAUUCCUAAAUAAAAUAGCUACAAACAUAAAAAAGCUAUGUCCUUCCCUCAAAAUUUGUCCACAGAAAAUUCCUUGUGGACAAAAGACACGCAGAACUCAAGAGUCCUCCCUCUGCUCCGGUGAGACAAACGCACAGCUGAUGGCUUCUUUGCCCUAUUGUUUCACUAAGCUGGACUAAGGCGUAAGUGACUAUUCCUAUAAAUUGUGUAUUCAAUUAAAGGCUAAUCAGAAACUCAAAAGAAUGCAAACUUUUGUCUCUUAUUUACCUAUCACCUAGAAGCCCCCUUCCCGAUUUGAAUUGUCCCACCUUUCCAGACCAUUGAAACGAUUCUCCUGCCUCAGUCUUCUGAGUAGCCGGGACUACAGGCACCCACCACCAUGUUCGGGUAAUUUUUGUAUUUUCAGUAGAAAUGGGGUUUCACCAUGUUGGCCAGGCUGGUCUGGAACUCCUGACCUCAGGUGAUCCACCUGCCUCAGCCUCCCAAAGUGUUGGGAUUACAGGUAUGAGCCAUGCACCCAGCCUCAGAUACGUUUUGGUUUACCAAUUUGGUA
rnacentral:lncRNA from 10 species